rnacentral:rRNA from 1 species
AUUAAACGCUGGCGGCAUGCCUUACACAUGCAAGUCGAACGGCAGCACGGGGGCAACCUUGGUGGCGAGUGGCGAACGGGUGAGUAAAGCAUCGGAACGUGCCCUGGAGUGGGGGGAUAACGUAGCGAAAGUUACGCUAAUACCGCAUAUUCUGUGAGCAGGAAAGCAGGGGAUCGCAAGACCUUGCGCUCUGGGAGCGGCCGAUGUCGGAUUAGCUAGUUGGUGGGUAAAGGCCUACCAAGGCGACGAUCCGUAGCGGGUCUGAGAGGAUGAUCCGCCACACUGGGACUGAGACACGGCCCAGACUCCUACGGGAGGCAGCAGUGGGGAAUUUUGGACAAUGGGCGAAAGCCUGAUCCAGCCAUGCCGCGUGAGUGAAGAAGGCCUUC